rnacentral:misc_RNA from 1 species
GAAACCUGAAGAUUGGGAUGACAAGGAAUUCAUUGAUGAUCCCGAGGAUAAGAAGCCAGAGGGCUAUGAUGACAUUCCAGAGGAGAUAACUGAUCCUGAAGCCAAGAAGCCAGAGGACUGGGAUGAUGAAGAAGAUGGUGAAUGGACAGCCCCAACCAUCCCCAAUCCAGAGUACAAGGGCCCAUGGAAGGCAAAGAAAAUCAAGAACCCCAACUACAAGGGAAAGUGGAAGGCUCCUAUGAUUGACAACCCAGACUUCAAGGAUGACCCAGAUCUAUAUGUUUUCCCAAAAUUGAAGUAUGUUGGAGUGGAGCUGUGGCAAGUGAAAUCUGGAACUUUGUUUGACAAUGUUGUGAUAUGCGAUGAUCCAGAGUUUGCCAAGUCAAUUGCAGAGGAAACAUGGGGAAAGCAGAAAGAUGCUGAAAAGGCUGCUUUUGAGGAAGCAGAAAAGAAGAGAGAGGAGGAGGAAUCAAAGAAUGCUCCAGCUGAAUCUGAUGCCGAUGAAGAUGACGAGGCUGAUGAGGCUGAUUCAGAUGAUGCUGAUGACAAGUCUGACUCCAAGGAUGAGGACACACAUGAUGAACUGUAAGAGCCAAGCAUUUUGAUUCAACUGACAAAGAAGCUUACUUGGCAGUUCCCGGAAGAUUUCGUCCUCCCUCCCCCCCUUUUUUUUCCUUAUUAGUGAAUUAGUAGCCCCUUCCCAAUUUUAGUGAAAAGACAGAGAUUGAGGGUGCAUGAGGUCUUAUAUGGCUGAUUGCUUUGAUGUCAUUGGGACUCGGCCGUUAGAAAUACAUGUUUGGUUUUGAGUAGAAUUUUAAACUAAAUGGUGUUGAAAUUACACUAGUUAAUUUCUACCUAAUUUUCUAUUUAAAUUGCUCCUUGUCUUCGAUUAUUU